rnacentral:rRNA from 1 species
AGCGAACGCUGGCGGCAGGCUUAACACAUGCAAGUCGAGCGGGCGUAGCAAUACGUCAGCGGCAGACGGGUGAGUAACGCGUGGGAACAUACCUUUUGGUUCGGAACAACACAGGGAAACUUGUGCUAAUACCGGAUAAGCCCUUACGGGGAAAGAUUUAUCGCCGAAAGAUUGGCCCGCGUCUGAUUAGCUUGUUGGUGAGGUAACGGCUCACCAAGGCGACGAUCAGUAGCNGGUCUGAGAGGAUGAUCAGCCACAUUGGGACUGAGACACGGCCCAAACUCCUACGGGAGGCAGCAGUGGGGAAUAUUGGACAAUGGCGCAAGCCUGAUCCAGCCAUGCCGCGUGAGUGAUGAAGGCCCUAGGGUUGUAAAGCUCUUUUGUGCGGGAAGAUAAUGACGGUACCGCAAGAAUAAGCCCCGGCUAACUUCGUGCCAGCAGCCGCCGUAAG